AUGAACAUUGCUCUCCUCACUAGGUGGCUUUGGCGGACUGCGAACAGCGAGGGUGGCUUGUGGCUCCGCGUCAUCCAGCUGAAAUACCUCCAUGGCCAGCCACUAGCCUUCUGCCACCGGACCGGUGGCUCCCAGUUCUGGCAAUCCAUCAUACAGUUGCUCCCGUUCCUCCGCAUCGGGACCUCGAUUGCGGUUGGAUCUGGCACCGCCACGCUGUUUUGGUUCAAUAGACGGGUUGGGGACACUCCCUUCGUCGCUCGCUUCCCUGACCUGUUCUCCAUCGCGGUAGAUCCACGGAUUUCUGUCGCGGCGGCCCUUAUUGACUUCGGGUGUCUCACGUUCCGGCGUCCUUUUGGACCGAUCGAGAAUGAGGCUUAG
rnacentral:rRNA from 1 species